GCCUGGGUGGCUCAGUCGGUUGAGCAUCCAGCUUCUGCUUGGGUCAUGAUCUCACUCACGGUUUGUGAGUUCGAGCCCCGCAUCAGGCU
rnacentral:tRNA from 1 species